rnacentral:rRNA from 1 species
UACAGAGGUCUCAAGCGUUGUUCGGAUUCAUUGGGCGUAAAGGGAGCGUAGGUGGCGGGGUUAGUCAGGUGUGAAAUCUCGGGGCUCAACCCCGAAACUGCACUUGAUACUGCCUUGCUAGAGUACUGGAGAGGAGAUUGGAAUUUACGGUGUAGCAGUGAAAUGCGUAGAUAUCGUAAGGAGGACCAGUGGCGAAGGCGAAUCUCUGGACAGUUACUGACACUGAGGCUCGAAGGCCAGGGGAGCAAACGGG